rnacentral:rRNA from 1 species
GAGCGGUAAGGCCCUUCGGGGUACACGAGCGGCGAACGGGUGAGUAACACGUGAGCAACCUGCCCCUGACUCCGGGAUAAGCCGGGGAAACCCGGUCUAAUACCGGAUAGGACGUCUCGUCGCAUGGCGGGGCGUGGAAAGGUGUCUUUCCGGUCAGGGAGGGGCUCGCGGCCUAUCAGCUUGUUGGUGGGGUGAAGGCCUACCAAGGCGAUUACGGGUAGCCGGCCUGAGAGGGCGACCGGCCACACUGGGACUGAGACACGGCCCAGACUCCUACGGGAGGCAGCAGUGGGGAAUAUUGCGCAAUGGGCGGAAGCCUGACGCAGCGACGCCGCGUGGGGGAUGACGGCCUUCGGGUUGUAAACCUCUUUUACCACCGACGCAGGCCCGUGCUUCUGUGCGGGUUGACGGUAGGUGGGGAAUAAGGACCGGCCAACUACGUGCCAGCAGCCGCGGUAAUACGUAGGGUCCGAGCGUUGUCCGGAAUUAUUGGGCGUAAAGAGCUCGUAGGUGGCGUGUCGCGUCUGCUGUGUAAGUCCGGGGCUUAACUCCGGUUUGGCAGUGGAUACGGGCAUGCUAGAGGUAGGCAGGGGAGACUGGAAUUCCUGGUGUAGCGGUGAAAUGCGCAGAUAUCAGGAGGAACACCGGUGGCGAAGGCGGGUCUCUGGGCCUUACCUGACGCUGAGGAGCG